AAUUGAUUGAAGUUGCACAGUACAAAGUUCAAUAUGACAAAUUUAUGCAAAAAGAUACAAACAUUAAUCACAUGCAAGAGUGAAAUAUGAUCUUGUGUAUCAGUGUAUGUAUGUGUUUCAUGUGCACAAUUACAUCAAGCCAUAACUUACAUACUAUGUAUAUAAAACUCCAUUUCUGAAAGCAUUCUGUUUAAAAUCUGUAAUGGGUAAUUGUAAAAAGUAUAUUCACAAACAAAUUUGUUGGAACCGUGCAAAAUUGUGUUUCUAAAUCGUGAAAUCUUUUUUCGAUAUAAUAUGCAAAAGAGAGUCAGUCUAAUACACCCAAACCUGAAUUGGGGCUGAGGUAAGACUCUCCACUAUCACCUCUUCACCACCAUCACCCACCUUAAAUGAAUACCAGAAUGGUACACAUGGAUAUUCUGGGAAUGCUGCUGCAACUGCUCUUGCACCUGCUUCAUUAGUAUAAUGAGACAAUCCAACAAAAAAUUCACGACCUAUAAUAAUCAGUUACUUCUGUUUAGUAAUUUGGUUGCGCGAUGGUUCAUUGGGCCGUGCUAUAAGUGCAAUACCAUUGCACACAACUGCGAUAUCUUCGACAAAAACACAGAGUGGUGAAUUUUCAUCCGGUGGCAUUUCAACAACGUCGAUGUCGAGUUCUCGUAGAAGCUGAGCAAGUGCCAAAUGUUGAGUUCUAGCUUCGUCUAAUGUGACCUCGCCUCUUGUACGAAGCGAAAGAGGAAUUCUACAUAGAACUGCAUGAGUAUAACGAUGGAGAGGCAUGGUGCUUCGAUAGAAAGGCUUCCGUGUCAAAGUUUAUCUGAACUUUAUUACUUCUCGUUUAUGUAAAUUAUAAUACAACGAUCACAGAACUAGUUCUACGUUUCUACUAACUUCAUUGGAACGCCGAUUGCAACAAAUGUAGACUUUGACGUUUAUGUAAAAACAACAGCAAGACAGUAUUCUAAACAUUUACAUUUGUAAUGUCACCAGAUCGUAGCGUAAUUUUGAAUUUUUUAAAUGUUGGAUUAAAACUUUCGUUUUUUAUUACGGAAAAUUAGUUAAAAAUAUUAAAACCUUACAAUAAUACAAUAAAUAUUUAUUAAAUGAUGAUGUAAUAUAA
rnacentral:lncRNA from 1 species